rnacentral:rRNA from 1 species
GGGUUGUGAGGUUAAGCGACUAAGCGUACACGGUGGAUGCCCUGGCAGUCAGAGGCGAUGAAGGACGUGCUAAUCUGCGAUAAGCGUCGGUAAGGUGAUAUGAACCGUUAUAACCGGCGAUUUCCGAAUGGGGAAACCCAGUGUGAUUCGUCACACUAUCAUUAACUGAAUCCAUAGGUUAAUGAGGCGAACCGGGGGAACUGAAACAUCUAAGUACCCCGAGGAAAAGAAAUCAACCGAGAUUCCCCCAGUAGCGGCGAGCGAACGGGGAGSAGCCCAGAGCCUGAAUCAGUGUGUGUGUUAGUGGAAGCGUCUGGAAAGGCGCGCGAUACAGGGUGACAGCCCCGUACACAAAAAUGCACAUACUGUGAGCUCGAUGAGUAGGGCGGGACACGUGGUAUCCUGUCUGAAUAUGGGGGGACCAUCCUCCAAGGCUAAAUACUCCUGACUGACCGAUAGUGAACCAGUACCGUGAGGGAAAGGCGAAAAGAACCCCGGCGAGGGGAGUGAAAAAGAACCUGAAACCGUGUACGUACAAGCAGUGGGAGCCKCUUYRKSGKGUGACUGCGUACCUUUUGUAUAAUGGGUCAGCGACUUAUAUUCUGUAGCAAGGUUAACCGAAUAGGGGAGCCGAAGGGAAACCGAGUCUUAACUGGGCGUUAAGUUGCAGGGUAUAGACCCGAAACCCGGUGAUCUAGCCAUGGGCAGGUUGAAGGUUGGGUAACACUAACUGGAGGACCGAACCGACUAAUGUUGAAAAAUUAGCGGAUGACUUGUGGCUGGGGGUGAAAGGCCAAUCAAACCGGGAGAUAGCUGGUUCUCCCCGAAAGCUAUUUAGGUAGCGCCUCGUGAAUUCAUCUCCGGGGGUAGAGCACUGUUUCGGCAAGGGGGUCAUCCCGACUUACCAACCCGAUGCAAACUGCGAAUACCGGAGAAUGUUAUCACGGGAGACACACGGCGGGUGCUAACGUCCGUCGUGAAGAGGGAAACAACCCAGACCGCCAGCUAAGGUCCCAAAGUCAUGGUUAAGUGGGAAACGAUGUGGGAAGGCCCAGACAGCCAGGAUGUUGGCUUAGAAGCAGCCAUCAUUUAAAGAAAGCGUAAUAGCUCACUGGUCGAGUCGGCCUGCGCGGAAGAUGUAACGGGGCUAAACCAUGCACCGAAGCUGCGGCAGCGACACUAUGUGUUGUUGGGUAGGGGAGCGUUCUGUAAGCCUGUGAAGGUGURCUGUGAGGBAUGCUGGAGGUAUCAGAAGUGCGAAUGCUGACAUAAGUAACGAUAAAGCGGGUGAAAAGCCCGCUCGCCGGAAGACCAAGGGUUCCUGUCCAACGUUAAUCGGGGCAGGGUGAGUCGACCCCUAAGGCGAGGCCGAAAGGCGUAGUCGAUGGGAAACAGGUUAAUAUUCCUGUACUUGGUGUUACUGCGAAGGGGGGACGGAGAAGGCUAUGUUGGCCGGGCGACGGUUGUCCCGGUUUAAGCGUGUAGGCUGGUUUUCCAGGCAAAUCCGGAAAAUCAAGGCUGAGGCGUGAUGACGAGGCACUACGGUGCUGAAGCAACAAAUGCCCUGCUUCCAGGAAAAGCCUCUAAGCAUCAGGUAACAUCAAAUCGUACCCCAAACCGACACAGGUGGUCAGGUAGAGAAUACCAAGGCGCUUGAGAGAACUCGGGUGAAGGAACUAGGCAAAAUGGUGCCGUAACUUCGGGAGAAGGCACGCUGAUAUGUAGGUGAAGCGACUYSCUCGUGGAGCUGAAAUCAGUCGAAGAUACCAGCUGGCUGCAACUGUUUAUUAAAAACACAGCACUGUGCAAACACGAAAGUGGACGUAUACGGUGUGACGCCUGCCCGGUGCCGGAAGGUUAAUUGAUGGGGUUAGCGSWAACGCGAAGCUCUUGAUCGAAGCCCCGGUAAACGGCGGCCGUAACUAUAACGGUCCUAAGGUAGCGAAAUUCCUUGUCGGGUAAGUUCCGACCUGCACGAAUGGCGUAAUGAUGGCCAGGCUGUCUCCACCCGAGACUCAGUGAAAUUGAACUCGCUGUGAAGAUGCAGUGUACCCGCGGCAAGACGGAAAGACCCCGUGAACCUUUACUAUAGCUUGACACUGAACAUUGAGCCUUGAUGUGUAGGAUAGGUGGGAGGCUUUGAAGUGUGGACGCCAGUCUGCAUGGAGCCGACCUUGAAAUACCACCCUUUAAUGUUUGAUGUUCUAACGUUGGCCCSUKAUCSGGGUUGCGGACAGUGUCUGGUGGGUAGUUUGACUGGGGCGGUCUCCUCCUAAAGAGUAACGGAGGAGCACGAAGGUUGGCUAAUCCUGGUCGGACAUCAGGAGGUUAGUGCAAUGGCAUAAGCCAGCUUGACUGCGAGCGUGACGGCGCGAGCAGGUGCGAAAGCAGGUCAUAGUGAUCCGGUGGUUCUGAAUGGAAGGGCCAUCGCUCAACGGAUAAAAGGUACUCCGGGGAUAACAGGCUGAUACCGCCCAAGAGUUCAUAUCGACGGCGGUGUUUGGCACCUCGAUGUCGGCUCAUCACAUCCUGGGGCUGAAGUAGGUCCCAAGGGUAUGGCUGUUCGCCAUUUAAAGUGGUACGCGAGCUGGGUUUAGAACGUCGUGAGACAGUUCGGUCCCUAUCUGCCGUGGGCGCUGGAGAACUGAGGGGGGCUGCUCCUAGUACGAGAGGACCGGAGUGGACGCAUCACUGGUGUUCGGGUUGUCAUGCCAAUGGCACUGCCCGGUAGCUAAAUGCGGAAGAGAUAAGUGCUGAAAGCAUCUAAGCACGAAACUUGCCCCGAGAUGAGUUCUCCCUGACUCCCUGAGAGUCCUGAAGGAACGUUGAAGACGACGACGUUGAUAGGCCGGGUGUGUAAGCGCAGCGAUGCGUUGAGCUAACCGGUACUAAUGAACCGUGAGGCUUAACCUUACAACGCCGAAGMUGUU